rnacentral:rRNA from 1 species
UACGUAGGGUGCAAGCGUUAAUCGGAAUUACUGGGCGUAAAGGGCUCGUAGGCGGCCAACUAAGUCAGACGUGAAAUCCCUCGGCUUAACCGGGGAACUGCGUCUGAUACUGGUUGGCUUGAAUCCGGGAGAGGGAUGUGGAAUUCCAGGUGUAGCGGUGAAAUGCGUAGAUAUCUGGAGGAACACCGGUGGCGAAGGCGGCAUCCUGGACCGGUAUUGACGCUGAGGAGCGAAAGCCAGGGGAGCAAACGGG